rnacentral:rRNA from 1 species
AAAGGAAUAGACGGGGGCCCGCACAAGCGGAGGAACAUGUGGUUUAAUUCGAUGAUACGCGAGGAACCUUACCCGGGCUUGAAAUGGAGAGGAAUAUGGGGGAAACUUCAUAGCCAGCAAUGGCCUCUUUGUAGGUGCUGCAUGGUUGUCGUCAGCUCGUGCCGUGAGGUGUCGGCUUAAGUGCCACAACGAGCGCAACCCUUGCCGUCGGUUGCCAGCGGGUAAUGCCGGGGACUUCGACGGGACUGCCACCGUAAGGUGCGAGGAAGGUGGGGAUGACGUCAAAUCAGCACGGCCCUUACGUCCGGGGCGACACACGUGUUACAAUGGACGGUACAGAGGGCAGCUACUGCGCGAGCAGGUGCUAAUCUCGAAAGCCGUUCUCAGUUCGGAUCGGAGUCUGCAACUCGACUCCGUGAAGUUGGAUUCGCUAGUAAUCGCGCAUCAGCCAUGGCGCGGUGAAUACGUUCCCGGGCCUUGUACACACCGCCCGU